rnacentral:rRNA from 1 species
CCUACGGGAGGCAGCAGUGGGGAAUAUUGCACAAUGGGGGGAACCCUGACGCAGCGACGCCGCGUGAGUGAAGAAGUAUUUCGGUAUGUACAGCUCUAUCAGCAGGGAAGAAAAUGACGGUACCUUACUAAGAAGCCCCGGCUAACUACGUGCCAGCCGCCGCGGUAAUACGUAGGGGGCCAGCGUUAUCCGGAUUUACUGGGUGUAAAGGGAGCGCAGACGGCGGUGCAAGUCUGGAGUGAAAGGCCGUGGCCCAACCCACGGACUGCUCUGGAAACUGCAAGGCUGGAGUGCAGGAGAGGUAAGCGGAAUUCCUAGUGUAGCGGUGAAAUGCGUAGAUAUUAGGAGGAACACCAGUGGCGAAGGCGGCUUACUGGACUGUAACUGACGUUGAGGCUCGAAAGCGUGGGGAGCAAACAGGAUUAGAUACCCCGGUAGUC